UGCAGUCGAGCGAAUCGAUGGGAGCUUGCUCCCUGAGAUUAGCGGCGGACGGGUGAGUAACACGUGGGCAACCUGCCUAUAAGACUGGGAUAACUUCGGGAAACCGGAGCUAAUACCGGAUACGUUCUUCUCUCGCAUGAGAGAAGAUGGAAAGACGGUUUACGCUGUCACUUAUAGAUGGGCCCGCGGCGCAUUAGCUAGUUGGUGAGGUAAUGGCUCACCAAGGCGACGAUGCGUAGCCGACCUGAGAGGGUGAUCGGCCACACUGGGACUGAGACACGGCCCAGACUCCUACGGGAGGCAGCAGUAGGGAAUCUUCCGCAAUGGACGAAAGUCUGACGGAGCAACGCCGCGUGAACGAAGAAGGUCUUCGGGUCGUAAAGUUCUGUUGUUAGGGAAGAACAAGUACCAGAGUAACUGCUGGUACCUUGACGGUACCUAACCAGAAAGCCACGGCUAACUACGUGCCAGCAGCCGCGGUAAUACGUAGGUGGCAAGCGUUGUCCGGAAUUAUUGGGCGUAAAGCGCGCGCAGGUGGUUCCUUAAGUCUGAUGUGAAAGCCCACGGCUCAACCGUGGAGGGUCAUUGGAAACUGGGGAACUUGAGU
rnacentral:rRNA from 1 species